GGGGCUAUAGCUCAGCUGGGAGAGCGCUUGCAUGGCAUGCAAGAGGUCAGCGGUUCGAUCCCG
rnacentral:tRNA from 1 species